rnacentral:lncRNA from 1 species
GAACUUACAAUGAGGUUCAAGCCUCACGUCCUUAUGGUUUUGGCUCAGAUUGCUUACACUUUUUUAUACUUCAUAACUUAAGCUUCCUUCAGUUCUUGAGCCAAGGGUAUAGCGGAAGCAGUCUCUCUACCUUCAUAAGGUAGAUAAGGUUUGCAUACACAUCACCCUUCCCAGACUUGCACCGGGUUUUUUGUUGUUGUUAUUAACGGAAGCUUCCUUCAAUCAUGGAGAAUCAUCAUGUCUACAUAACUUAUCGGCAUAUUGUAGCUGGUUUUUCCAUUCUACCCUUUGCCUAUUUUCUUGAAAGGUAUAUCCAAAGUCAUCUCCUUCAUUCUUCAUCAAUGUAGGAAUGCAAGUGCUCUUAGCUUGACAAAGAGGCAAGACGGGACUGGUAUCGG